CUGCUUUAAGAACCUUAGAAAAGAAAAGAAAAGAACUUAAUCAACUCCUAUACAAAGAAUUUCCUCACUUCAUAAUAAAGGACCUAAAUAUCACCUUAACUAACAAGACAGAGACGUAGAAAGAAGAAGAAACUUAAAACAAGACCUGGAACUAAAAACCCGUAAAGGGAAUUCUAGUUAAAGACUACAAACAGAACCUAAGUAAUNAAAAGACUCUUAAAACAAGCAAAUCAUAAGGCAAUUUUAUUUACAAGCUGCAACAGACCUAAGAAACGAAAAGCACCUAAGACAACUGCUA
rnacentral:lncRNA from 1 species